rnacentral:rRNA from 1 species
ACUCCUACGGGAGGCAGCAGUGGGGAAUAUUGCACAAUGGGGGAAACCCUGAUGCAGCAACGCCGCGUGGAGGAUGACACAUUUCGGUGCGUAAACUCCUUUUAUAGGUCAAGAUAAUGACGGUAGCCUAUGAAUAAGCGCCGGCUAACUCCGUGCCAGCAGCCGCGGUAAUACGGAGGGCGCAAGCGUUACUCGGAAUCACUGGGCGUAAAGAGCGUGUAGGCGGAUUAAUAAGUCAGAAGUGAAAUCCAAUAGCUUAACUAUUGAACUGCUUUUGAAACUGUUGAUCUAGAGUGUGGGAGAGGUAGAUGGAAUUUCUGGUGUAGGGUAAAAUCCGUAGAUAUCAGAAGGAAUACCGAUUGCGAAGGCGAUCUACUGGAACAUAACUGACGCUGAGACGCGAAAGCGUGGGGAGCAAAACAGGAUUAGAUACCCUGGUAGGUGA